UUGCUUUAUUGAUAUUUAUUUACACCGAUUCACAGAAUGGUUCGUACCCCGUGAAAAUCGACUUUGUAUAUACAACAUUGUCAACAAUCUUUGCAUUAAUAAGGAAAAAAAUACAAGUAUCUACCUCAUCGAAUGCGGGGAGAACGUAAUUGCAUUAACGAUAAACAUCAUUGAGCCAGACGGAACUUCACUUUCGACGUUGAAUGCUCGAUGGACAUGAAACUUUCGAUAUUCGCUAAUAAUCAGGCAAGAUAGGCGGAAAAAGGUGGUUAAGUGUUCGCGCGAACACAUCACGAGGCAUUCUCACGAAGUUUUGUUUAAUUUAAUCGACAUCACAAUAACAACAUACUUUGUAGAAAUAUUACGGACGAGAAACAGGUUAAGUUGGGCCGGCAAGGUGUUUCGGAUUUCGAAGAUAUCACCACCGACUUUCUCCCCGCACGCAGCCAAAUUUCUCACGAAUCCGGACCGGCACCCUUCCUCUAAGGGGGCAACAAAAAGAAACGACCGUUAACCACCUUUCUCCCCUCUUAAUCAUCCCUCCGGCCGCGCUCUCUGUCCGAAUAAACCGUGCAUCCCCUUCGGCCUGGCUCCGGAAACAGGUAAAGAUCUCCUCCGUUCGCGUGACCUUCGACCCCUCGACCCUACCGGCUCAAAAGAAAGAGGGGUGCAUUGUGUUCAGAAAUGUUCUCACGAGCCAUCGUAACGUCUGCACCCGUCAAAACGACUAUUUAAGGGCCCCGUACCAACGACAGAACAGUCAGAAGUGUUUUGCAACUCGCGGCGGACAGCGACGCGGACGAUCCUUGCCCUUGGGCCGUCCGUCUCUCGUCGAGGAUCUCUUCGCGAAGGGUCUCCGGGACGAAGGAAUGGUCGGCGACCCUUGAAAUAUGGAGGACCUCGGAGGCCGAGGAUGAGAAGAAUGUCCGGGAAACGACGAAAUUAUCCGGAACGUGAAUGAGGUGACAAGCAAAAUCGAGAAGAAAGAAGAUGUGGGUGAAACGAAUAGUGGAAGAAACAAAUUUUUCUAGCUGAGAAAAGAAGCAACGACGAAGAAGAACGCGGGAACUGAUAUAACCGAAUAUGUUUCAAGAUCCGUAAUGAGUUCGAUGCAGAAUAAUAUAGUAACUAAUGGAAAUAUUAAGGAUACACUGUACACUGUUUAAACAACGACAGGGAGAAUCGUAAGGAACGGCAGAAAAUGGAAUCACUUAAAAUGACAUCAGAAAAUGGGAAGAAUGUGAAGAAGGAAAUUCCAACGAAUGUGAGCAGUACAUAAUAUAAGACAGAAGAAGACGAAGAUAAAUACGG